rnacentral:rRNA from 1 species
AUGGAUGUUGGAAGAUCUCCCACAAGCACUUUCAAAUUUCUUCCGGAUAGGGCGCGUCAGAAUAUCCAUGGCUGGUCGGAUCGGCCGUUGUCGAGAGCAGGAACUAAAACUUUACUUAAGUCCAAGACUCAGGCUAUUCCCACUUUCAUUUCGAGUUGUUUCCGUUUGCUGGUAGCUACUUGCGAGAAGUUCCGACAGAUUGUGUCUGAUCAGUGGUGGGGGCGUGAGGAUGGUAAAAAGAAAAUGCAUUGGCGUUCUUGGGAUUGGCUCUCGACCCCUAAAUCCCUUUGAGGAAUGGGUUUCAAGGAUUUGACACUGUUCAAUCAGGCGAUGUUGGGGAAACAAGGCUGGCGACUGCUGACUGAUCCUGGGUUGCUGUGUGCGCAGGUGUUGAAAGGAAGGUAUUUCCCGUUCGGUGAUUUUUGGAAUGUUGUUGCUGCUCGCUCAGCCUCGACAACUUGGCGUGCCAUUCUGCAUGGCCGAGACCUGCUGAAGAAGGGUGUCCAAUGGGGUAUUGGGGAUGGAAUAAGUGUUUGGGAACGUAGUAAUUUCAAAAAAAUUCCUACGCACACGCAAGAUCAUGGUGAUGCAUAG